CCCUGGCAGUCAGAGGCGAUGAAGGACGUGCUAAUCUGCGAUAAGCGCCGGUAAGGUGAUAUGAACCGUUAUAACCGGCGAUUUCCGAAUGGGGAAACCCAGUGUGAUUCGUCACACUAUCAUUAACUGAAUCCAUAGGUUAAUGAGGCGAACCGGGGGAACUGAAACAUCUAAGUACCCCGAGGAAAAGAAAUCAACCGAGAUUCCCCCAGUAGCGGCGAGCGAACGGGGAGGAGCCCAGAGCCUGAAUCAGCAUGUGUGUUAGUGGAAGCGUCUGGAAAGGCGCGCGAUACAGGGUGACAGCCCCGUACACAAAAGCGCAUGUGCUGUGAGCUCGAUGAGUAGGGCGGGACACGUGGUAUCCUGUCUGAAUAUGGGGGGACCAUCCUCCAAGGCUAAAUACUCCUGACUGACCGAUAGUGAACCAGUACCGUGAGGGAAAGGCGAAAAGAACCCCGGCGAGGGGAGUGAAAAAGAACCUGAAACCGUGUACGUACAAGCAGUGGGAGCACCCUUCGGGGUGUGACUGCGUACCUUUUGUAUAAUGGGUCAGCGACUUAUAUUCUGUAGCAAGGUUAACCGUAUAGGGGAGCCGGAGGGAAACCGAGUCUUAAC
rnacentral:rRNA from 1 species